rnacentral:rRNA from 1 species
CUUGGUGGCAAUGGCGAAGAGGUCACACCCGUUCCCAUCCCGAACACGGAAGUUAAGCUCUUCAGCGCCGAUGGUAGUGAGGGUCUAUCCCUUGUGAGAGUAGGACGCUGCCAGGC